GCUUACGGCCAUACCACCCUGAGCUCACCCGAUCUCGUCUGAUUGCGGAAGCUAAGCAGGGUCGGGCCUGGUUAGUACUUGGAUGGGAGACCGCCUGGGAAUCCUUGGUACUGGAAGCU
ensembl:rRNA 5S_rRNA 5S ribosomal RNA